UCUUUCACUCUUCUUCAAGCACUUGUCACUCAACGACUCAACGUUUCACUGAGAGAGCGUAAGCGAAGAUAAGACUCAGUCCUUUCUGUACCAGAUAUGGCAUCUGUUCAUAGUACCCUGACACCGGCUGUGUUCAAAAAUGGAAAUCACUCAUCUCCGCCAAAGUUCCCAAGUACUGCCUUCUUGCCUGGCUUUGAUUUUGUGGGACGUGUUUCAAGUCCAUACAAAAAGGAAACAUGCACCACUCCCAUGAGCUCAGGCCCCAGAGCCACGUUAACCUUUGAUCCCCCGACAACCAACGCCGAAAAUGUCAAACAAAGGAAGCACACAGUGGAUCCUGCUUCGCCUGAUUUUCUGCCACUUCCAUCCUUUGAACAAUGUUUUCCAAGGAGCACGAAAGAACAAAGGGAAGUUUUUCAUGAACAGUCUGGUCAUGUACUCAAAGUUCCAUUUCGACGAGUCCAUCUAUCUGGAGAUGAACCACAUUUUGACACCUAUGAUACCACUGGUCCUCAAAACAUUAACCCACGCCUUGGCCUCCCUAAACUGCGCAAAGAUUGGAUUGACCGACGGGAAAAAUUGGGUGCACCAAGAUACACACAGAUGUACUAUGCUAAGCAAGGCAUCAUAACUGAGGAAAUGUUGUACUGUGCCACUCGGGAGAAGCUUGAUCCUGAGUUUGUGAGGUCAGAAGUUGCUCGUGGACGAGCAAUCAUCCCUUCCAACAAGAAGCACUUGGAGCUGGAGCCGAUGAUAGUUGGAAGAAACUUUUUGGUCAAAGUUAAUGCAAAUAUUGGUAAUUCUGCGGUUGCAAGCUCUAUCGAGGAGGAAGUGUACAAGGUCCAGUGGGCAACCAUGUGGGGUGCCGACACCGUCAUGGAUCUCUCCACAGGUCGCCAUAUCCAUGAGACCCGUGAGUGGAUCCUAAGGAACUCUUCUGUACCAGUAGGGACUGUACCAAUUUAUCAAGCACUUGAAAAAGUGAAUGGAAUAGCGGAAAAUCUUAACUGGGAAGUGUUCAGAGACACCCUGAUUGAACAAGCUGAGCAGGGUGUUGAUUACUUCACCAUCCAUGCUGGAGUUCUACUUCGUUACAUCCCAUUAACUGCAAAGCGUAUGACAGGAAUUGUCUCACGUGGAGGUUCCAUCCAUGCGAAAUGGUGUCUAGCUUACCACAAAGAGAACUUCGCUUAUGAGCAUUGGGAUGAAAUACUUGAUAUCUGUAAUCAGUAUGACGUGGCCUUGUCAAUAGGUGAUGGGCUGAGACCUGGGUCCAUUUAUGAUGCCAAUGACACUGCUCAAUUUGCAGAGCUUCUAACUCAGGGAGAACUGACCCGCGGAGCAUGGGAAAAGGAUGUUCAGGUAAUGAACGAAGGGCCCGGUCAUAUUCCAAUGCAUAAGAUUCCUGAAAACAUGCAGAAACAGCUGGAGUGGUGUAAUGAAGCACCUUUCUACACUCUAGGUCCUUUGACAACGGACAUUGCUCCUGGAUAUGAUCACAUUACCUCUGCCAUCGGUGCGGCCAAUAUUGGAGCCCUGGGCACAGCACUUCUCUGUUAUGUGACUCCCAAAGAGCACCUUGGGUUGCCAAACCGAGAUGAUGUCAAGGCUGGAGUUAUAGCAUAUAAGAUUUCUGCUCAUGCAGCUGAUCUAGCCAAAGUUCACCCACAUGCUCAAGCCUGGGACGAUGCAUUGAGCAAGGCAAGAUUUGAGUUCCGGUGGUUGGACCAGUUUGCGUUGUCACUUGAUCCAAUGACUGCUAUGUCCUUCCAUGAUGAGACCUUGCCAUCAGAAGGUGCUAAGGUAGCACAUUUCUGCUCUAUGUGUGGGCCAAAGUUCUGCUCUAUGAAGAUAACAGAGGAUGUGCGGAAGUAUGCGGAGGAGCAUGGCUAUGGGACUGAAGAAGCAGUGCAGCGUGGAAUGGAUGCUAUGAGUGCUGAGUUUUUGUCUGCUAAGAAAACUAUUAGUGGGGAACAACAUGGUGAAGUUGGUGGAGAAAUCUACUUACCAACGAGUUAUGUGAACAAUUUAGAGAGGAACAUAUGAAACUGAGCAGGAAAACCUUGACAACAUUGGACCAAAUAAGAGCAUCUUUGGCAUAUCGAGAUUGUUAUACUGGGUGUUUUAGUUUUCAUGCUAUGGGGUGCCUGUGCUCUGCUUUGCACCGGCAUAUUGGCCGGAACGCAGGCAGGCCAGGCUGAGACAGUCCCUUUGAACCUGAACAGGAUAAUGCCUGCGUAGGGAGUGUGCAUUUCUCUUCCUGUUUUGUUGUGUGUGCUUGCACAGGGAGAGAGCUUUUGAUCUAUGCUCCAGGCUACCAGAUAGUUUGUGUUACGGCCACCUAUGUCUGUCUAUAUUGGCUACUUAGUAAUGAGCCGGCAAAUUCUUCGAUUCUUCUGUGCUUUAAGAGUAAGAAGCUCUACUAAAACAGGAAAGAUGAAAUGUCCCGACUCUAUGAUUGUCUUUGUUUCUUUUUUAUCUUCUCCAAGUUGGCAUUAAUUCUGACGGAUAUACCUGGACUGGAUACUAACGCGGAUAUUAAAAGCAUUUAACAGUCCAAAAUAAAAUGAAAUUGAUUUUGCUAGAAGGAUUUGUUGGAGAGAGAUGCUUGC